GGGAUCUUAGCUCAGCUGGGAGAGCAUCUGCCUUACAAGCAGAGGGUCACAGGUUCGAACCCUGUAGGUCCCA
rnacentral:tRNA from 1 species